ACGUAUUGUGGUAUAUAUAUGAUGAAUAUUUUUGCAAGUUACUUUACAAGGGUGCCUUAAUUUGUUAAUAAAAAUGCAAAAAAAUUAGGACGAAUUCAAGGCGGGCCUCAGUGGGCUGGGCUGAAGCGCAUAAAAGCCCACUAAGGUUCACAGGCGUGUAUCUCACAUGAGGCAAUCCCUGUGUCCUGAUUGGUUGUUCGAACCCUCCCACGGAUCGCAGACAACCACCAUCUGAUCCUCCCGAAUCCAACGGCAAGGAUAACUCCCCCUCUUUCUUGUGUUUCUUUCCGUCCACGGUCCACCCACGAGCCACGACCCACGAGACGCCCACUUAUCUUCCACCGGGAGGAAGUGGAUCCAUGGCGGCCUCUUCCAGAUCCACCGCCCUCCACCCUCUCCAUCCAUGGCGGCCGCCACCACACAAAGACAAAGGCUGGCAGCCACCGCAACCUCGCCAUCCAUGGCAUCUUCCCCUCCGCAUCCUGAAGCCGCCGCGUUACCAGCCGCCGCAACCUCUUCAUCCACGAACAUCUACCUCUCUACCGCCGCAUCGACCAUCUGCCGUCACGACGUUAGCCUCGUCUAGUAGGCGGGGACGCCCCUAAAGGCGGACCUAGUGCAUGCGUCGCUGGUUCCCAUCUUGCUGCAAGGAGCGACCAGGUCCCUCGUGGGCGUGCAGAAGCUGGAUGGGCCGGACGCGAUGACUACGGGCGUGCUCAAGGUCCCGCUUCAGCCUCCACCUGAUGGAGUUUCGCCGCAUCGGACCGGCGGGAUCCUCGGCAGGCUGUGAGCUGCAAGUCCCAACAGGUCUCCCCUCCCCCUGUUGCUUUUGAUUUUCCCAGCCUUUCGUUUGUGAUUUCCCAAACCGUUCUUAGGAAUUCUUGACUUGGCAGGCACUACAGGUUCGAUGGUGUUUUCAUCGGUUGAGACAGAGUGCCGUUCAGCAGCAUGGUUUGAGGCGAGAUGGUAGCGAAAAUGGUGUCUCCCUCUGAUGACCUCGGCGGGUACGGCCGGGUCUGUGGCCAUAAAGGCACGGGGAUUAACGAAAGUUGAAAUAUGGCGAGCGCCGCCGGCGCUUGAAGAGCUGGAGAGUAGCUUAGUGUGUCUCCAGGAGAUAUUUGUAAUUUUAAGUUUUUACUGAUUUUUUUGCUCCUGUACAUGUGUAUUUCCUGGUCUGUUUAUGUAACAUCCAUUUUAGUGAAUGAAAUGAGCAUAUAUAUUUUUCGGAUAAAACAUAUUGCCUUAAAAUUUCCAUGGGCCAAAUAAGAGAAAUAGGAUGAGAGGUGGUUGUAUUGCUUGUAGUGAAAUAG
rnacentral:lncRNA from 1 species